CGGAAUGGCGCCGCUAUACAUGCAGUCGAGCGGACAGAUGGGAGCUUGCUCCCUGAUGUUAGCGGCGGACGGGUGAGUAACACGUGGGUAACCUGCCUGUAAGACUGGGAUAACUCCGGGAAACCGGGGCUAAUACCGGAUGGUUGUUUGAACCGCAUGGUUCAAACAUAAAAGGUGGCUUCGGCUACCACUUACAGAUGGACCCGCGGCGCAUUAGCUAGUUGGUGAGGUAACGGCUCACCAAGGCAACGAUGCGUAGCCGACCUGAGAGGGUGAUCGGCCACACUGGGACUGAGACACGGCCCAGACUCCUACGGGAGGCAGCAGUAGGGAAUCUUCCGCAAUGGACGAAAGUCUGACGGAGCAACGCCGCGUGAGUGAUGAAGGUUUUCGGAUCGUAAAGCUCUGUUGUUAGGGAAGAACAAGUACCGUUCGAAUAGGGCGGUACCUUGACGGUACCUAACCAGAAAGCCACGGCUAACUACGUGCCAGCAGCCGCGGUAAUACGUAGGUGGCAAGCGUUGUCCGGAAUUAUUGGGCGUAAAGGGCUCGCAGGCGGUUUCUUAAGUCUGAUGUGAAAGCCCCCGGCUCAACCGGGGAGGGUCAUUGGAAACUGGGGGAACUGGACUGCAGAAGGAGGGAGGAGUGAAUUUCCACGUGGUAGGCGGGUGAAAUGGCGUAGAGGAUGUGGGAGGGAACCACCAGGUGGGCGGAAGGCGGACUCUCUGGGUCUGUAACUGACGCUGAGGGAGGCGGAAAGGCGUGGGGGAGGCGGAACAGGAUUAGAUACCCUGGUAGGUCCACGCCGUAAACGAUGAGUGGCUAAGUGUUAGGGGGUUCCGCCCUCUUUAGUGCUGCAGCUAACGCAUUAAGCACUCCGCCUGGGGGAGUUACGGUCCGCAAGACUGAAGACUCAAACCGAAUUGACGGGGGGCCCGCACAAGCGGUGGAGCAUGUGGUUUAAUUUGAAGCAACGCGAAGAACCUUACCAGGUCUUGACAUCCUCUGACAAUCCUAGAGAUAGGACGUCCCCUUCGGGGGCAGAGUGACAGGUGGUGCAUGGUUGUCGUCAGCUCGUGUCGUGAGAUGUUGGGUUAAGUCCCGCAACGAGCGCAACCCUUGAUUUUAGUUGCCAGCAUUCAGUUGGGCACUUUAAGGUGACUGCCGGUGACAAACCGGAGGAAGGUGGGGAUGACGUCAAAUCAUCAUGCCCCUUAUGACCUGGGCUACACACGUGCUACAAUGGACAGAACAAAGGGCAGCGAAACCGCGAGGUUAAGCCAAUCCCACAAAUCUGUUCUCAGUUCGGAUCGCCGUUUGCAACUUGACUGCGUGAAGCGGAAUCGCUUGUAAUCGCGGAUCAGCAUGCCGCGGUGAAUACGUUCCCGGGCCUUGUACACACCGCCCGUCACACCACGAGAGUUUGUAACACCCGAAGUCGGUGAGGUAACCUUUUAGGAGCCCGCCGCCGAAGGUGGGACAGAUGAUUGGGGUGAAGUCGUAAUUCAAGGUUAGUUUUGGGG
rnacentral:rRNA from 2 species